UUUCUUUUUGCAGAUGAAAGAUCCAUUAUUUAUUCAUCUAUAAAAACGUAUUAAAAAAUUAUACUCUCUUCCAUAUCCAAUUCAACUUUUGCGCAAAAUAAUUUUUAUAGAAGCAAACAUCAACGAAUUAUUUGAAACGGUCACGUUAUCCUGCAUAUAAUUACCAAAUUUCCACAAAAAUAUAUACCUACCCAAGCAAAAUGUUUACGUGAUGUCAGCUGAUAACUCCAUAAAAUCACGCAUACGUGGCAACAACGACAGUCAAACUGUCGAUUAUUUUUAAAUUUCAAUUCUAUUUUUACCAUCUCGACCAUCGACGAGUCGUUAAUUUUACAAUUUUUCUUUUAUAAAUUAGAAAUAAAAACGAAGAACCUUAUCGAUAUACGUUUGAUAAAAUUAUUGCACGUGAUUUCUAGGAAAUCGAGGGAUCAAUUCGUGGACCUUCCUUCAAGUUUCUGGAAAACACGCGAUUCCGGAAUUAAGAGGCAGGCCCCGACGUUCGUUUGGGUGAAGAUCGAUAAAAUUGCCGUGCUAAGUAUUCACAAUGCCAAACGGCUCUCGCCAUCCUGGAUAAGGUGAUAAAUUUCGCUUGAAUCGAAUCUCAGACACGAUUCCGUUUACGUGAAAGUGGAAUGAAAAAAAGAGGAGAGGAUAAAGGAAAGUGGAAAUCAAAGUGUGAUUUACUUUCUAACAUAUAUAGUUUGUUAAUGACACAACGUUUGUUGUAAUGAAACAGAAACCUGGAAUUAUACGUUUGAAAAUUGUGGAUUAGAAAGAAAUGAGAUAAGAAAUUUUCUUUCCUCGUAGAUUUUUAACUUUUUUUUUUUUUUUUUUUUUUGGAAUACAGAAAAGAA